GACGAACGCUGGCGGCGUGCUUAACACAUGCAAGUCGAACGGUAAGGCCUUCGGGUACACGAGUGGCGAACGUGUGAGUAACACGUGGGCGAUCUGCCCUGCACUUCGGGAUCAGCCUGGGAAACUGGGUCUAAUACCGGAUAGGACUCCUGGCUUCACUGUCGGGGGUGGAAAGCUUUUGCGGUGUGGGAUGGGCCCGCUGCCUAUCAGCUUGUUGGUGGGGUAAUGGCCUACCAAGGCGACGACGGGUAGCCGGCCUGAGAGGGUGUCCGGCCACACUGGGAGUGGGAUACGGCCCAGACUCCUACGGGAGGCAGCAGUGGGGAAUAUUGCACAAUGGGCGCAGGCCUGAUGCAGCGACGCCGCGUGGGGGAUGACGGCCUUCGGGUUGUAAACCUCUUUCAGUGGGGACGAAGCGUAAGUGACGGUACCUACAGAAGAAGCACCGGCCAACUACGUGCCAGCAGCCGCCGUAAGAC
rnacentral:rRNA from 1 species